GACGAACCGUGUGAACGUUGUUCGGAUUCACUGGGCUUAAAGGGCGCGUAGGCGGAUGGCCCAGUCAAGGGUGAAAGCCCCCGGCCCAACCGGGGAAGUGCCUUUGAUACUGGCGAUCUCGAGUCCGGGAGAGGUGAGUGGAACUGCGAGUGUAGAGGUGAAAUUCGUAGAUAUUCGCAAGAACACCAGUGGCGAAGGCGGCUCACUGGCCCGGUACUGACGCUGAGGUGCGAAAGCGUGGGGAGCAAACAGG
rnacentral:rRNA from 1 species